rnacentral:rRNA from 1 species
GACGAACGCUGGCGGCGUGCCUAAUACAUGCAAGUAGGACGCACAGUCUAUACCGUAGCUUGCUACACCAUAGGCUGUGAGUUGCGAACGGGUGAGUAACGCGUAGGUAACCUGCCUAUUAGAGGGGGAUAACUAUUGGAAACGAUAGCUAAUACCGCAUAACAGUAUGUAACACAUGUUAGAUGCUUGAAAGAUGCAAUUGCAUCGCUAGUAGAUGGACCUGCGUUGUAUUAGCUAGUAGGUAGGGUAAUGGCCUACCUAGGCGACGAUACAUAGCCGACCUGAGAGGGUGAUCGGCCACACUGGGACUGAGACACGGCCCAGACUCCUACGGGAGGCAGCAGUAGGGAAUCUUCGGCAAUGGACGAAAGUCUGACCGAGCAACGCCGCGUGAGUGAAGAAGGUUUUCGGAUCGUAAAGCUCUGUUGUAAGAGAAGAACGGGUGUGAGAGUGGAAAGUUCACACUGUGACG